rnacentral:rRNA from 1 species
GACGAACGCUGGCGGCGUGCUUAACACAUGCAAGUCGAGCGGUAAGGCCCUUUCGGGGGUACACGAGCGGCGAACGGGUGAGUAACACGUGGGUGACCUGCCCUCAGCUCUGGGAUAAGCCUGGGAAACCGGGUCUAAUACCGGAUAUGACUCCAUGACGCAUGUUGUGGGGUGGAAAGCCUUGUGCGGCUGAGGAUGGGCCCGCGGCCUAUCAGCUUGUUGGUGGGGUGAUGGCCUACCAAGGCGACGACGGGUAGCCGGCCUGAGAGGGCGACCGGCCACACUGGGACUGAGACACGGGCCCAGACUCCUACGGGAGGCAGCAGUGGGGAAUCUUGCGCAAUGGGCGAAAGCCUGACGCAGCGACGCCGCGUGA